rnacentral:lncRNA from 1 species
UGAAAUAAUUCCGUAUUUGGCAAUUAAAAUGGAUUGCAUUGAUCAGCAUUAACAUUAACAAACUAGAGCCCUUAAUGUAAAGAGAGAAAUCAAACUAAGCCACUCAUAUCGAGGAGACCAGUCAGCCAUCUUGAUGAAGAACAAGCUCCAUAUUCAAAUCAUGUCUCGAUAAGGUAACAAGACAAAAACUCGCAUGAUACUUGCAUAAAUUAAAAAAAAAAAAAACACACUCUUCGCAUAUUAAAUUGAGAUCUUAGGUUAUUGGUAUGCCAGCUUCAGCUCCGCUUUCACAUUGCCAGACCAAAUGAAAAACUAAAUAUUGCCUGAAAUUAUAGUCACCGAAAGAGUACAGAAGUUUUGACGUAGUUCACAGUUUCUCAAAACUUUCAGGAACUCGGACACUCAGAUUCGAAGGAACCUGAGAUGAGAAUCUUUUCAUGGAACCUGAAGAGCUCACCGAGUAUUUUGCUUCUUCUUCAGAGGUGGGCCAAUACUCCAUGCCUCUCCGAUUUGUAAUCCAUAAGCAUGAUCCAGCUUUACUCUCGUCAGUAAUAAGCUCAAAAGCACCUAAAAGAAAACAUGUUUGGAAUAUGAGAUAAGAGUUUCAAAACAAAGGGGACAAACCUGGAGGGUUCUAAUGAAAUUGCAAGCCAGAUUUAUUCGUCCUUCUCAAGAAAAAGUAAUAAAAAGAGAAAGAAAGAGGUAUAUUCACUGUGCACCUGAAGCUGAUAUUUUUUAUACCCAGAAAGAGUAAUUUAAGUUCAUUUUUAAGGAGUCUUUCUUGUUCAGAUUUCAGACAAUUCAAGCCUUACGAUUUUCCACUGCAUAAGGAUGUUGUACUAGACACUUCUCAUAAAUUUGAAGAGUAAUACCUUUCACUACCGUAUCCAUAGGUACAAAGCCCCCCAUCAGAUCAAUUAAUUGGGAGCCCGCCUUUAAGGCCAACUCAGUUUCAACAAACUGCAAACAAGAAUUCACAGUGAAACUAGUUGAGACUGACCCGUUUUCAAAAUGCUGGCUAAAUAUCACACUAGAUGACAUCCGGAAUGCUUCAAAUGGAGCAAUACCUCAGGGCAAAGCACGUUGAUGCGAAUUCCCUUGCUUUUGUAGGGAGUAAGUGAUCUAGUAAAUAAAACAACACCACCUAUGGAAAAAAAAAAAAAAAAAAUUGUUAUGAGAAUCAAAUUCUACAUUAUUUCUUUCCUUUUAUAGCUGACAUCAAAUGAACAUAAGGUAAUCUAAAUGAGUGCCCGAAAUAAAAUCGGUGACACAAUGUGGUACAAACAUCAAACCUUUGGAAGCAGAGUAGAUUGGAUCUGUGUAAAAUGGAUAAAGUCCUGCAGAAGAUCCCAUAUUUAUAAUCACUCCAGGCUUUUUUGCAGCUUGCAUAAUUCCAAUCUGUUAUCAUAAAAUGUACUCAUAAUCACCACUCAUUCUCUUCCAAUUAGCAAAUUAAAAGUAUAAGCAUAAAUCCAUCUCUUGGAACUUUCAACAUCUUGGAGUUGUGAAGUACAUUCUUUUGUUCCGCAAACGUAUGAGGAGAGUGCAAGUUAUCAAACAUACGUCAUGCAGUUAGCUUCUACACAAUCAUGCACACCCAUAAAUGGGGAAAAAAAUCCUCUAAAAUUUGCUAAAUGGCAGCAGGCAGAGGAUUACCGGAAAAAGAAUCCACUUUUUACAUAAAAAAAUUUCACCCAAUAAUCACUUACCUUGUGAAUGGGCUAUAGUUAGAAGUUUUUUGAAUCGCAUGGAUAAUUUAUGUGGCCUUGGGACAUCUUAAGGCUGUACUAGACUCUGACAUUAACAGCUUAACAUCAAGAAGUAUUCAACAGAUAUCAACCUCAUCAACAAUGCCAAACAAACCAUGGCAAUAAGUCGAGCAAGAGCAACCAAGUAUGAGAGUAAACCAUGAAGGCAAGUCAAAUUUAAAGCAUACCGCUUUCUGAGUGCAAUCAAUAACUGCAACCAAGUUCACAUCAAGAGUGAAUCUCCAUGAACGUGUGCCAUCAGUUUGAUCCUCGUGGAAUGGAAUGGGAUUACUUAUGCCAGCACUGUUGAUACAUAUAUCCAAUCCUCCAUAUGUAGCUACGUGCUUCUCAAAAGCAGCAGCUGUAUCCCCUGGUCAUCGAAUAUGAUGAAUGCACAUAACUCUCUUAAAACAUAAGUUGCACAUUGAGGAGAACAAGAAGAAAACAUGCCCAGAAAUUGAUGCUCUUUACUGUCAAGAAGUGAGACGCAAUUCUGUUUGAUGGAUUACUUGUAAAAUCAUCAAGUAACAAUCCAAGAAAUGAUUGGAUAUGCAAAUUCAUGCUGAGAAGUCAAAAUACAUAAAAACCAAUCGUCUACAAAGCAACGUCAUACAAAGUUAAAAAAAAAAAAUAUUCUGUUUCCCAUUAGAACCUCAACAUAAUACAACGGAUAAGUAAAUAACUAAAAAGUGUAAUAUAAAAAUCGUCAAAAUUCAGUUUUUGAAAUCCUCUCUUUCACAGCCUCAGAAAAGCCAAUGCAAACUCUGAACCAGGAAAAGUGAAAAGCGACAAAAUGAGAACAGUCCGGUUAUGACACGUAAGUAAAUAUAGGCAAACUUACUUGUGUUGGUCACAUCACAUCUUAUAAACAUAGCAGAUGGAAAUCCUAAGUUUGAAUGAAACUUGGCAUUCUCUUUUUCAACAAGCGCUGCAACUUCCUUUCCCUUUUCUUCAGAGAGAUCAACAACUGUCACAAAGACUCCCUUCCCUGCAAGAGCUAGGCUCAAAGCUCUACCUGCAAAAUAUACACCAGCAUUGGCAACAUCCGGAAAUUAUAUACCACAACAAUUCAAAUUUCAGUAACUUCCCUUGAAUAUGAAUAAAAUCAUUUUAGCCUAUCUUCGGAAGCCUCCGAUUGAUGAGAGUAACUACUAACUACUUAUAGGAUAUAUCGUAUACAAGAAAAAUAAGCAUAUACUGGAUUAGUAAUGAUUAGAAGGUCCCAAAAACACAAAGAAUCUAAAUUUCAAUAAGAAACAACCAAAGACACAACACAACCUAUCAAGUGCCAAACAAAACACAAUCAAUACACAAACACGAACCCAGUAAAGGAAUCAAAAUAGGGUACUUAAACGCAAGAAAAAGAAAAUUAAAAGCCUUCAAUUUUUUACCAAUCCCAGAUGCACCGCCGGUGACAAAAGCUGAUAAGCCCGGUUUGAGCUCCAUUUUAUGAACAAACAGAGAGGCAAAGGGAAGCGAUUAAACUACUCGGUUAAGAGUUUUCUUAUGUGAUCGGGCUUUAACUGCCCCUUUUCCCGGGUAUUUAUUUGAACGUACUGAAAUUUGUUGUUGCUCUGAAUUGCCAAAUGAAGGGUCGAUGUUAUAUAGACGGCUUCCUAUAGGUCUCUCCAGCCCACAAUUUGCGGCGCACUGGGGUCUCCUCAUUUUCCGUAAUUGUUUGUUUAGACGUGCAAAUAAUUUGAUGAUUCUUUCCUUGAACGUCAGAGCCAGACAGGGACAAAUACGUUUCAUCAUCUAACCUCUAACCAUUAACCAAUAUCUGCUAAACAAAUACCAGUAGAUUACGCAAGAAAUAUUAUUAACACGAGAACAAUAAGAAGAUAUUAGAUUACGUACUAAACAAUCAGCUUUAGGAAAGUAUUGAUAAUAUACAUGCACUCAAUACAAUUAUUAGACGUAAAAAUGCCACGUGCCGCCCGGUUAAUAAUUCGAUUUUUCUAAAUUUUAUUGGGAUAAAUAUCUCUCCUGCAUUCAUGGUAAUAGAUUUGGAUCAUGAUUCUCUCUUAAUCUGAUCUCCUCCUGAACAAACAUAUAUGGUGAUUGGUUGUUAAUAAAAUAAAAAAAUAAAAAAGUUAAAUCUUAUCCAUAUACUAUCACUUAAAAACACAUGACACAAAAUCUUAAAAAACUCAUGAGAGCUCAGAUAAGGAGAGGAUCUUUUUCUAAUAAAUUUUCGAACCCACCCUCGAUAGAUCAUCGCUUGGCUGAAAUAUGUACUACUCAUAGUACAUUUCAAAUUAUAUGUACUUGUAGAUGGUAACAAUUUCAAAAAAUAAUAUCAGCAAUGUAAUUAUUUGUAACGUGACCUUAGUAGUACUUAUUUGACCUUAUUGGAGUUAUCAGUAUUUUUGGCUAGACAUGUUUUGCUGUAUUAUCAAAACAUGUGCCGUAUAAGCUGUAUUGCUGACUUUUAAAACAAAAAAAUUAUCUAAGCAAUUAAAACGUUUUCAAUUUAUUUAUUAUUAUUUUAUAAAAUAAUAAAUUUGAUUGCUAAAAAUGUUGGCCACAACCGACCAACGCAAGCCGCUAUUAGCAAUCUUAUAGUGGUAUAUUGCAUUAAGUUAUAUUGCUUUAGCAUUAUAUUAUAUUAACAUUUUAUAAUAUUUGUUGUUAUAUUGUAUAGUAUUAUAUUAUAAUAAUUUUCAAUAUUAUUAUUUGUAAUAUAGAAUACUUAAAAAAUCAGUUUAAACAUAUUCCACGUACUGGCAAUAAUCAACAAAGUUUCAGAAUAGAGUUAUUAAUUAAUUUAGGAUAACAUUUAGAAAUUAACUUAGAAAAGGUAAAAGAGCUAGUACUAGGAGUAGAAAUUUUUUUUGAAACUAGCAAUAUUAAUACAUUAAGAAGAAAUUUAAAUUAUAUUAAAAAAUUAUUAGCUAAUUUUAAUAAGCAUAUUAGCAUAUUCCCUAGCAAGAAAUAAUAGAAUUAAUAUAGUUAUUAGACAUAAAAACAUCUAACCGAGUAGAAUUAGAAAUUAAAAAUUUUGUCGAAAGCUUAAAAGUUGCAAUAGAAAAUAUUAAAUGUACAGAAAGAGAAUUACAAAUACAACUAGACUCAAUAAAACUAAUAGCAAGUGAAUGAGUUUAGAAAAUCAAUUAAUAGAAAUAUUAGCAUAAUUGAAAAAAAAUACACCAAAUAUUAACCCAAUAGGCUAUUGUUAUAGAGAAUUUAGUCAAUAAAGUAAUAAUAUAUAGCGAGCUCAAGCAAAUACUAUUAUUAAAUUAUUAGUCAGAGUUUGUAAUAAGUUAGAAGACUUAGAAAAAUAAACUUAUUAAAUUAGAAAGUGGCUUUUAAACCUUUAUAAAAAGUAAAGAAACAAUAUCACAUUUAGUGAAGUAAUUAUUUGAUUUAAAACUAAAAGGACAAAAGAAAUUAAUUAUUUUGCUACAUUAUUACUAGUAAUAGAAUAUGUUAUGGGUAGAAUUAGUGAAUACUGUGAAAGAAGAAAAAAAAAGAUGUUUGGGUGGUUAAAACGCUACCACAUAUGUGUGUGUGUGUGUGUGCGCGCGCUCGACAUUGUAGCCUGCUCGUGAUCAAAGCAAUGUUCGAGGAGAUUCGUAAUAGUCAGCUACUUGUAUGCAUAAGGACUGCCAGGGAAAUCGCGAGGAGAAGCCAAGAUCAGGUCUUCACACAGACCUGGUCAGAGGUUGACCAUCGAGUUGUCUAGGAAAACUAAGUAUGAUGCCCACUCCUAGACGGUUACCGAAACAACUUCUCGAUCGCCUUAUAACUGGUGCACGUGCCCAUAACCCAACUAACACGCUCAACCAAUCCACGAGCAUCCACGAACUGAUAGUGAAGCAAUAGAUUCGGCUGCUUAUAAACGCAUUGCAAAUGGAAAUCAAAGGCGACACUUUUGGAACAAAGGGGGAAACUCUGUCUCUUUAAGUCCAGAACUUUUCUCUUAAAUUAUUUAUUCUUGUGGGCAUUAUAAUCUUUACUUCAAAUAGCUACUAUUAAGCCACAGACAUUUGUGACGCAAGUUUUUCUAAAAAAACAUCCGGCGCCCCCUGAUUGUUUAUUAUGAUUGUAGGUGUGGAGAGCACGUGGUCAUCAAAAUCUGUUCCACUGAAACAACUGCAAGCAGUUCUGUGCCCCAUCAAAAUAAAUUCAGUUAUUGACUUGACAAUCUGGUAGCUAUAACGAGCUCGACUAGAUUUCUGCAUCAACAAAAGACAUCAAAUAAAAUUGUAAUUUAGGAAAAUGUAUAUAGAUAUGUCAAAAGUACCGACUUUAAGAUGUAAUUAUCCUAGCUAUUCUAGUUGUAAGAAAAAUAUAAAAAAUGAUAUAAGCACUAUAAACAACCAUACAUGUAUAAUAAUAGAAAAUUCUAUAGGAAAAAAUUCUUUAAAUAUAAUAGCAGAAAAUCUAAAAGGUAAGCACUUAAAAAUGGUAAAAGAAUCUAUAAACGGAAUAAAACUUGUAAAUGUUUUUUAUGUGGUAAAUAAUGACAUAUUAAACCACACUGUCCUAAAAAUAAAAAAGUGAUCAAUCAAUUAAAAAUAUAUAGUUAUAUAUAAUAUAGAAGAACAAAUUUUAGUCAUAGAGAAAAUAUUUAAUAUAGAUAAAUAAUCAAAUAAUGAUAGCAUAUGUAUUCUUAGUAGUAAAUCAGAAGCUAAUUAUAAUUCAGUUUUAAAUUCAAACUCAGAGGUAGAAUUAGAUUUAGAAAUUAAUGUCUUAGGAACUUAUACAUAAGUUUUUGGUAAAAACUGUAUAGUCUGUAAUAAAAAAUUUAAAUUAGGAUAUAGAGAUAUAAGAAACAGAUAAAUUCUUUUGCAAUAGUUGUAAAGAUAAACAACAAGAUGAUAAAACAAUAGAAAUAAAUGGAGUAGGAAGUGAAUUAAUAUAUAUAGAUGUAGAAUUAUUAUUUAAAAAGGAAAUAAUUUAUACUAAAGCAAUGAUAGACACUAGAGCAAACAAAUGUAUUAUACAUGAUAGCUUAGUCCCUGAAGAAAAUAGGAAUAAGUUAGAAAUCCAGUAAAUAUUAUUAGACAAUUUAAUGGUGAAUUAAUGCAAAUAACAGAAUGUAUAAAUAAUAUACUUAUUAGAAUAAAUGGAGAAACACAUGGUAUUACCAUAAACAUUUAUUUCUAACCCGAAACUAGGAUAUAAAGUUAUUUUAAGAUUAAAUUUUAUAUUAGAAAAUAAUGAUAGUAUAUUAAUAACUCCAAAUGGAGUUAAUUUCUUUAAAAAAUCAACAUUCAUUCAAUCUAAAUAUGAAACACACAUCUUCCCAUAUGAAAAGAAUACAUUAAUGCUAGAAAAAGAAGUAGAUAUAUAAUUCUUUAAUUCGUUAUUAGAGGAAGAAAAAGAUAGUAAGGUAGAAAGUAUUGAAGAGCUGGAAGACUAUAAUAAGUUAGAAUUAGAACGUGACAUGCACAUGAAUAAUAAGUUUUCCAUUAAUGAAAUAGAAAUGCUAGAUGAUGAAGACAUAGACAUGUACUUACAAGAUAUUAUGAGUAUAGAAAAACAAGUUGAAUGUUAUGCGAUAAAUGAUCUAAGAUAUAAAGAAACAAGUAGAUGAAUUAGAAAAAAUUAGAUAAUAGGCAACAAACCAAAUAGAAAAGAUAAUAAAGAGAUUUAUAGAUUAGAAAUAAUUAAUUCAAACAUAUCAAUAAAAGCACAAGAUUUAGCCUAUAGUUUAGAAGAUACAAAUGAGUUCAAAAUGUAUAUAAAUAAAUUAUAGAAUUAAAAGUAAUAAGAAAUAGUACAAGUAGACAUAGAAGUCCAGCAUUAAUAGUAAAUAAGCAUAGUGAGCAAAAAAGAGGUAAGAGUAUAAUUGUAAUUAACUAUAAAAGAUUAAACAAUAAUAAUUUAGACAAUAGUUAUAAAAAAAACCCAAUAAAGAUGAGCUAGUAAAUUGUAUACAGAAUACUGGAUACUUUUCUAAAUUUGAUUGUAAAAGUGGUUUUUGGCAAAUAUGACCUCAUAAGAAUCUAUUCAAUGGAUAGCUUUCAGUUGUUCAAAAGAACAUUUCAAAUAGUUAGUCAUGCCAUUCAAAUUAAAAAAUGCACUACAAGUUUUUCAAAUUUAAAUGGAUAAAAUAUUAAAACCAUUUUCAAAAUUUUGUAUAGUUUAUAUAGAUUAUAUUAUUGUCUUUGAUCAUAAUAAAUUUAUGAAUAUAACUCACUUACAUAACAUUUUAGAUAUUUUAGAUUAUUUUAAGAAUAACAAUAUAGUAAUUUCUAAAAAGAAAAUUGAAUUAUUAAAACAAAAAAAAUUAGGACUAACAAUAGACAGAAGAACUAUAGAAUUACAACCACACAUAGUUAGUAAAAUAUUAGAAUUUUCGAAUAAAAGAGAAGAUACUAAAAAAAUACAAAAAUUCUUAGGAUUAUUAAAUUAUAGUAGAAAAUUUAUAACAAAUAUCCGUACAUUAAUAAAACCCUUAACCCUUACAUAAUAAGUUAAGUAAAAAUGGACAUAAAUAUUUUAAUAUUGAAGAUAUAAAAUUAAUAAAAAAACUUAAAAGAAUAUUUAGAAAUCUUAAGCUAUUAGCAUUAUCUAUAGACAAUUAUUAUAAAAUUAUACAAAUUGAUGCAAGUAGUUUAGGAUGAGAAAGAAUAUUAAUAACAAAGCCUAAUAAAGAUAGUCUAAAAGAAAAAGAAGAAAUAACAAUGUAUACAAGUGGAAAAUUCAUAAAAAUAAAAAGUAGAAAAUCAAGUACAUAACCAGAAAUUUUAGGAAUAAUAAGUUCUUUAAAUUCAUUUAAUUUGUAUAUAAAAAAUGAUAUAUUUAUAAUACGAAUAGGUUGUAAUAAUAUUAUUGAAUUUUAUAAAAAAGUACAAAAGAAAAAUUUUGAGAAGAAGAAUUCUUUUAUUAAUAAAAGAUGAACGUAUUUUUUAGACGUAAUAACAUAUAGAGGAUAUAAAGGAAAUUUUGAACACAUAAUAGGUAAAAAUAAUACUUUAGUAAUAUACUUUCGAGACUAAUUAUUCAAUGAUUAUUUUACAGGAAUGGUGUGAUAUAUGAAUUUCGGUCCAGUAACACUUAGACAGUUCCUUUCAAGAACAAGUUUGAAUUUUAUAAGGACUAAUUAUCAAACAGUCGAUAAUACAUCUUAGAUAAUUUGUGGAGUUGUAAUAACUCACAAGAUAAAUUAAAAGUAGUCAAUGCACUCAUGAAUUAUUUUAGACAUAUUAAUGAGCAUAUAGAAAGCAAUCAUUUUGCAUUUUUUAUAUUAGUUAGAGGUAGACAAUCAGGCAUUUAUAGCAAAUAGAGAGAGAUAAUUUAUCUAAUAGUUAAUUAUCUAAAUCCAUAUUGUAGAGGUUUUUAUACAUUUCAUAAAGCAAUAGAAUUUGCUAGACAAAAGAUAGGACUAAAUUAUCAUAUUAGCAAUUUAAUUAACCCUUUAAACAAUGUAUCAAUAUCAUUAGCCAGACAAUGAAUUAACUCUUUAAUCAAUGCAUCAUCAUCAACCAUACAAUUUUGUAACUAUUGUGAAGUCAUGACACGCACCAUUAGAAAGCUCAAUGAAGUAAAUGCAUAUAGACAGAAGAUAAUUGCAUUAGAAAUUGCUGAUGUAGAACUAUUUAGAGAGAAUAUUUUAUUACAAAAUAAAUAUCAUAUUUUACAUAACCAAAAGACCAAAAAAAAACUGAAAACAUUUAAUCAUUACUUUCUACUUGAAGAAGCUUUUAACCAUAUCCUAGUGAAGUAAUUUUUAAGAAUCCAAAAAUUUCUCCCCUCAUUAGUGAUGGUAUAGACAUUGUAAAAGAAAAAAUAUUUUUAACCAUAGAAGAAAUCUUAUAGCAGGAUUUUAUUUCAAUAGCCAAUCAAUUAUUUUAAAAUCAAUUAAAUUUCUUCACUGAGUUAGGACCUAGAUGAUCAGAACUAAGAAAUAUUACCCUCCCAGACAUGAUUUUCCUACAAUUUCCUUUGAUUAUUCUUUAGUCAAAAUCGUAAACAAUUAAAAUUUAUUAUUUAUAAGACAGUCACUACCAUACUAAACAUUAUAUUACAACUUAAUAUAAUGCAUCCUAAUGCUAUACAACAUAGUGCAAUACAACUAAUAUGAUGUGAUAUAAUGCAAUGUGUCAAACGUCCUCCAAAUGAAUACACUUAGUCUGAGGUACGGGGAUUGAGCCAUUGAGGUUAUGCAAGGUGAAAGAAAUAAGAAAUAAGAACUUAAAUAAACUUUAAUUUAUGCGGAUUGAUUCAACUUUUCAUGUAAUUAAAUAUUCCAUUGGAGUUGGAUUAGGGAUAUUAUUUUACUACCUAAUAUAUUUUGACAUAACAUUUCACCAUUAAAGUUUUCUGACAAUUACUUUUUCUUAUUUAAUGUUUUAGUUUUUAUUAUUUUACUACCGAACCAUUAAAAUUAAUAAAAUUCUUAACGUGAAAUAUAAUAAAAGACUAUUUUACCCCCAAAUUACGUAAAUAUAAUUUAACAUAAAUUAAAAAAUAUAAAAUUAAUUAUAUACAAAAAUAAUAUUUUCACUAAUUAAUUAUUUAAUUAUAUAAAAUAACUAAUUGAUAAAAUUAUAAAUAUCAUACCUUAUGAAAUUCCUAAAACAUUAUAUAUAUUGAAAACUCAAGGCCACAGCCCACAGCCAAUGGCUACGGACGUUGCUUUAAGUUCUUUUAUUCGAAGGAUUGGUAAACCACGUACCGCUAUCAUUAUAAUAAUGGGAACAAGCGAGAUUAGGUGUAAUUUUCAUUUGUUUUCGUCCUUAUCAUGACAUAGCAUCAUCUAUUCAUUUUACGUGUUAGCUUAUUACUCUUGUUUGUUUUAAGUUAAAUAAAAUAUUAAUCCCUUUUUUGACAUUUGAGGCGAGUUAUAUAAAUAACAAUCCGUUCUUGACAUUUGAAGCAUACUUGUACCAAGAGCAAAGCUUAAACAUUUCAAUUUUUGGCUUUUUUAUUUUGUUUUUUAUUUGUUAGGUUUUAUAAUCUCAAAAUCAAGUGUAUGUUUGGCAUACAGUGUCACAUAGUAUUAAUUUGUGGGCUCACAUUAGUUGAAAUAAUUCCGUAUUUGACAAUUCAAAUGGAUUGCAUUGAAAUGAAUGUUGUUUCUAAGCAUGAAAAGUAUCUGGGACUUCCAUCUAUGAUUGAGAGGAGAAAUAUUAGUUUCUUCAACGACAUAAAGUUGAGUGCUGAAUAAGCUGUCAAGUUGGCAAAAUAAGUGUUUCUCGAGUGGGGGAAAAGAAAUCCUCAUCAAAGCUGUGGCACAAGCUGUGCCGGCUUAUGCGAUAAGCAUUUUUAGAAUUCCUCAAGGGCUUUGUGACGAUAUACAAAAGGCAGCAGCAAGGUUUUGGUGGGGAUCAUCCGAAACUUAUAAAAGUAUUUAUUGGGUAAGGUGGGAAAGGUUGUGCCGGGCUAAGAUCAGGGGUGGAUUGGGAUUUAGAGAUCUUUCAAGUUUCAAUCAGGCUCUUGUUGCUAAUCAGGGGUGGAGAAUUCUACAUAACCCUGAUUCUUUUAUGACAAAAGUAUUAAAAGCCAAGUACUCCAAACAUACUGACUUUAUGGAGGCAAAAUUGGGGUCAAAUCCCCCCUUUGUAUGGAGAAGGAUAUUAUGGGGAGACAAGUGCUACACCAAGGCCUAAGAUGGAGAAUUGGUAAUGGAAGCCGUGUUUCAGUGUCCAACAGUAAUUGGAUUCUGAGAUAUGAACUUUCAAGCUAUGUCCCUCAUCAAAAUUUAACGGAAGGGGCUGUUGUUGCUGAUUUUAUUGAUGACAAAAAUCAGUGGAAGGAAGAGAAGAUUGAGCAAUGUUUUACCAAAGAGGUUGCACAGAAGAUUUUGAAAAUCCCUCUCCCAAGAACCCCUCAGGAAGACAUAUUGAUUUGGCAGUUCGAUAAGCAUGGCUGUUACUCAGUAAGGAGUUGAUAUCAGGUGGCACUAAAGAUGAAGUUCCCAGAUAAUCCGGAGUGCUCUGACAGCUCAAAAACUCAGUGGAAGGUAAUUUGUUCAAAUGAGAUUUCGGAAAAAAUUAAAAUUUUUAUGUGGAGGGCUGCUCAAAAUUUACUGCCAACAGCUAGCAAUCUAUGGAGGAAAAAUGUGGUGAGGGAUCCAGCCUGCCAAAGAUGUCAUUGUAAAAGUGAGAGUGUUCUUCAUGUCUUAAUAGAGUGCGAGGCUGCUCGCAAAGUCUGGAAAUUGACAGAUUUUUACGAGGAUGUGAAGUUGAUGGCUCAGCAAGAUAUAUUGAGUAUGCUCCAAGGUUUAGCAUCGAGAAGGAAGAAGAAAGAGUUGGAACAGAUUAUUGCCGUAUGUUGGGCCAUUUGGUAUGCGAGGAACCGCUUUAUAUAUGAAGGAAAGCAGGAAGAGCCAAAACUGACAGCAGCAAGAGCAUCAGCUAUUGUGGAGUCAUACAGGAGAAUAAAAAUCCAAAAUGGUCCAGCUCGAUCAAUCCAUCAUCGAAACAGCCAGCAAAUUUGGAAACCUCCUCCAGAUGGGAAGUACAAAGUCAAUGUAGAUGCUGCAAUUCAGAUGUCAGGUCUGAAGGCAGGGUUGGGGGUUGUGAUUGGGAACUCAAAUGGAAAAAUCAUUGCCGCAGCUGUCAAGAGAGUCAGCUAUAAGGGGACAGUGGCGUGCAUGGAGGCUGAAGCAAUUCUUUUUGGCAUUCAAGUUGCCCAACAAGCAGAAUGUUUGCCCAUGAUCAUUGAAUCGGACUCAACAGAAGUGGUGGAGCUAGUUUUGAACAGGAAGGGUAGCAUGACAGAAAUUUCUUGGACAGUUGAAGAAAUUAAACAAAGGCUGAUGAAUCACAAUACAUCUUCAAUCCAGUUUGCUCCAAGGAAGUGUAAUGCCAUUGCCCAUUCUAUAGUUAAAGUGGCUUUUGAUUUUGAGAACCCUGUUAUUUGGCUGGAAGAGUUUCCAGUUCAGAUCAUGCUGUUAUUUUCAAAGUUCAUUAAUUAGAAAGCUUUACUUUCUCAUUAAAAAAAACAAUAAAUAACCAGAGCCCUUGAUGUAAAGAGAGAAAUCAAACUAAGCCACUCAUAUACAGGAGACCAGUCAGCCAUCUUGAUGAAGAACAAGCUCCAUAUUCAAAUCAUGUCUCGAUAAGGUAACAAGACAAAAACUCGAAUGAUACUUGCAUAAAUUAAAUAAAUAAAUAAAACACACACACAUACACACACUCUUCGCAUAUUAUAUUCAGAUCUUAGGUUAUUGGUAUGCCAGCUUCAGAUCACUCUCCACUUUCACAUUGCCAGACCAAAUGAAAAACUAAAUAUUGCCUGAAAUUAUAGUCAAAUUUCCAUCACCAGCCACCGAAAGAGUACAGAAGUUUGACGUAGCUCACAAUUUCUCAAAACUUUCAGGAGCUCGGACAUUCAGAUUCGACGGAACCUAAGAUGAGAAUCUUUUCAUGGAACCUGAAGAACGCACCGAGUAUUUUGCUUCUUCUUCAGAG